GGGCCGUUAGCUCAGUUGGUAGAGCACCUCAUUUGCAAUGAGGGGGUCGCAGGUUCAAAUCCUGUACGGUCCA
rnacentral:tRNA from 2 species